CCCAGAACUGCCGCUUAGUCAUUCAAGGGUUUAAUCCACCUUCCGUCUGUGAAAAUAAACGAGGAAGCGCAAACACUUCUAUACGCGUCUCUAAUCAUCUGUGUUAAUUCAACGACGAAAUUAAACAAAGCAGGUUAAGAAGUUACUCGAGUGCAACGAGUAGAAGGGUCGGUAAGCUGUUUUCUUUAAAGGGCUAAUUUAAUGAAUGCGAAAGACCGACGUACCGAUGUCUAGCAAAGUGUAUAGUCUUGUCCACAUACCUGUUAAAAUAAGCCAUCAGCUGAAAAGCUGUGUUGAGGUUUAUAGUUGUAGUAGUUGGGCCUGGUCCGCUGUAAUUGUCACUGGGGGCUGUAGAUGUCGCUGCCGGGGUACUGCUGAUUUUUCCUCCGUUUUUUGGUGCAUGGGAGUAAAAUCGGACUCCGGUCGCCGGGAUUCGAACCCGGGUUCCGAACGUUCGCAACCUAAGAUGUUAACCACUGCGCUGCCGUCGUCAGACACUAGUUAGUGUCGAGUGGUGGUAUUUGGCUUGUCGAGUGCCACCACAAGACAUUUCAGGUAUUUCACUAUUACACGUUCGUAAUAUUUAUCAAGUCUGCACAUAUACCGAAAGAAUGUAGAAAAUAUCGAAAAUUCAUGAAAAUGCCGCUCGAUGAAAUCCUAAUUAAAUUACAUAUGUGUUCUUAACGAGAUCAUCAUCCUGAAGGAUCUUGGACUUAUACUCGCACCCAUCUUAUCGUUUGCGGAGCAUUAUGAGCAUAUUACAUCGUUGGCUUGGCGAGCUCUUGGUCUCAUUAUAAGAAUGUCCACGUGACGCAUGUUAUCUUCAUUGAGAGGAUUCAACGUGGAUCCGUAGGUUCUCUUUCCCACAAAAUUGGAAAUUUCAUUCUCAUCUCUUGCCAUAACUACGACCAGUUGCUAACGCCCCUCGGAUUAAUUCCUUGUAAUACCUAUUAUCCCUGGGAGCAACGUAGAUUCACAGCUGAUGCCAUAUUCGUAUAUAAAAUGGUAAAGCGUUACAUUAGCUGCCCAGAGGUUCUUCAGUUUGUUAAGCUUACUACUCCAUCCGGGAUUUACGAGAGUUUCUCAAUUUUCCACGCAUCGUUAUGCAGAACCAGUUACGCUCCUAGUAACUGCAUUAAUCGCGUUUACAAACAUGCUAAUAUACUCGUCCACCGAUUACACUCCUUUUGAGAAAGAACUUGAGAAAAAUGUUAGAAACCCAGUGUGUAAUUCACUGAUACGUCCGCGCACUAUUUCUGACUUGUUAUCACUACCAAUGACAAUUAUUUAUUCAUUUAUA
rnacentral:misc_RNA from 1 species